ensembl:lncRNA
GGCUAGGGGUCUAAUUGGAGCUACAGCUGCCGGCCUUCGCCACAGAUACAGCAAGGCAGGAUCGCAGCCGUGUCUGUGACCUACACCACAGCUUAUGGCAACGCCGGUUCCUUAACCCACUGAGUGAGGCCAGGGAUCAGACCCACAACCUCAUGGUUCCUAGUCGGAUUCAUUAACCACUGAGCCACAACAGGAGCUCCAAGGUUUGUAAUUCUUAUAGGUUAAGUAUUGACUCCAAGCUUUCCACAAGCUUUUCACUUAUUAUAGAUUUCCUGGUUACCUGAGGGAGAAGGGGCCAUUUAAGCUGGCCUGGCUUCCUCUUGCUACAUAAGCACUGGUGAUUCUUCUAAAACUCAGCAGUCAUUUCAUGAUUUGUGCUAGUAGUGAUAAUGCCCUAGUCUCCAUUAAAUAGAACAAUUGAAAAAGAACAAAAGAGAGAAAUCCUUGACCAAGAUAUUCCAAAUUUUUUCCUGCAUCUACUGAAGGCCUUUAGCCUCCAGUCAUACAGAAAUAGCCUUGACUUUCAUCAAUAUGCAAUGGGCAAAACCAUAAUUAAUAAGGUUAAUAGAUCACCUGGGGUAUUAAAGCUAAUCAUAUUUAUAAAUUCAAAUAUUAAGUCAGUUAUUACCCUGAAGUAGCAAUUUAUAGACUUCUCGGUGGCCUAGAAAAUAUAGCAAAAAAAAAAAAAAAAAAAGCCCUAUGUUUGUGUUUUAUGCCCAAGGAAGAACCUUUAGGGUUAGGGUUAUAAUUUCUGGGUGGAAUAUUUGGCAUAAUUACAUUCAUAUUCAAUAGGGAAUCUUUUAGAAAAUCACUGCUUGGAAUGCUGUUCUAUAAAUGUUCUAUCGUGAGCCAAAUUAAACAUGUUAUAUGCCAAGUUCUCAGUCUAAGGAAAAACGUUACCAUCUGCUGUAAUUAUAUAGAAUGAGAAAGAUAGUGAAUGUAUUCCCAUUUAUUGAACACAAAAGAGACACUUUUAAAACAAAUUGUUGGGCCGUGUUCAGUUUGUGAUGUUUUCACUCAAGCAGAGUAAUGUCUACAUUUACUCAGUGUUAUGGAUUAGGUUGUUAAGUAUACUCACAUUUUACUCAAACCUUGCAAAUAUUCCUUGGCCAGAAGGAGAGUGCAAUGAAACAUGAUUCUGUCUGUAAUCAGUUAAAAAUAUCCAAACUGACAAUUUGCUUGGGUGACAGUUUACUUGGGAUUUAAAUCUCUCUCUAAUGAGGUAUAAGAGUAGUUUCACUCAAAUUUUACAGUUAAGGGAAUUUCUACUUAAGUUAGAAAUACACAUUUCCCCCAACAUUUCUUAAGUUCUGAAUUAGGAGUAAUACCAUUUUUGUAAAUUCUUCCUAAAUUUCUUUGAUCGAAAGAAAUAAAAUAUGAUCAGUUCGAAUACUCCUUAUCUGUGAACAAGAGUUAUAUUUAUAAGAUGGAUGCAAAUUAUCCAGACUUUACUAAACAGCAAAGAAAAUGAUGCACAUCAUCCCUGAAGUAGGCCUCUUAUUUACACACUUUCUGUAUCAAAAUGAAGUAUGGAUCCUGGCAAAUCCACUAUACUUUAUUCUCAAAGCCACUGGGCAUUUUUCACAGCAAUCUUGGCUGCCUUCUGUAAAUUGUUUUUUUCCUACAACAUACAUUUCUCUCUUUCAUACUCCAAAAUACAUUAUUUAUGUGUAUGCCUAAUUCUGUUAUUGGGAAAAGUAAGUUAAUUUUUAGAGUUAUUGAUUUUACUUUGUCCAACAUAUGUUGUUCUUUCCUUUCUGUGACUAAAACAAAAGAUAUAUGAAAGAAACCAAAAAAAUCAAUAUUUCUCUGAUAACUGUGUUACUUAAAAAUCACAUUUGGUUCAGAGAAAUGCAGGAUAUGAGGUAACAUUACGUGUGAACCAAAUGUUCUAAGCUCCUUCCUCCAAGCAUCUUUCCAUAACCACCCUCACCUGCUUCUCUCUAUUAAGUACCACACCUGUGUACUUCAAUAAUAUACUAUAUUACAUUUACUCCAUUUAUUAUAAUUAUUAGUGUGCAUGCUGUCUCUGUCAUAUUGCUAGCUUAUUAAGGACAUUAGAUUGUAUUGUUUAUGUUAACAUAUGCUUUCCUAAGUGUAAAAGAAUAUAUUGCUCAUUGUAUUAGGGUAAACUUUAACAUUAAGGAACAAAGUGGUAAAUUGUUCUAGAUUCUUCUUUAGAUUGGCUUAUGCUGUUUUUCUGCAUGAAGUCAGUUUAAAAGAAGUUCUCCCCUUUAUCUUAGUGUGGCAGACUUUGGAAGAACCGCAGAGGAUUAGAGGGAAAAAUGAAACAUACAUAGAUCUAAUCUAUGCCCAGGAAUAAGUCAAAAGGCUAACAGUAAUAUUAAUAAUAUAAGCUUCUAUUUAUUGGGUAACUACCAUGAUCCAAACACCUAUGACACCUGUUAUAAGUGAUAUUAAUGACAACCUUCUUAAAUAAGUAAUUGAUUUUAGGUUGAAAACACACCCUCACAACUCCUUUUAUAUUCCGCUGCAGCAGAAGGAGGAACUUACUUGCUUCUUUGUCAUUGGGACCUACUACACUCCUCCUUGCAAAAAACCUGAGUUCCCAAUUUCUCUGUGAAGUCUAUAGUUUGGGCAGAAGGGAAUACGUUUAAUUCAGGGGAAAUGUUAGCAUCUGGUGCAUUGAGCUUAAGACUUUGAAAAAUCUCCUAGGAAAGGCAUUUGAUAGGAGAGUAAGAAUGGAAACUUCUGGUGGGGUCUGGAUCCAGCAAGCUUAAGUUUUCAUGAUGGUUUAGUGAAAUAGAGACUGUAAAUUUCUCACUUUGGUGGUUUGUGUGGCCAGUCCUGUGCUGUACUGCCCAUUUUUAGAACUGAGCUGUUGUCAGACUCGAUGGGUAAUUCUAACAAAUGAAACCUUGUCCAUGGAGUGAGAGGUUAUUUUUUUAAUAAGGUCAUUGACUAUUUUUAUAAGACAUUAGGUUUAAUGGAAACAUAAAUUUCAUCAAAAGUGUUGGUUUGUGACUUGCUGCAACUUGACUUUGAACUGCUUAAGUAGUCAUUAAAAUAUAUAUAUAUGUGUGUGUGUGUGUGUACACAUAUGUUGGUACUAUACAUGUAGGUGCUCAGAUUUUUUAACAGAAAGGAAAGUCUGAGGAAACAGAAUAUUAUGGGAAAAUAAAGAGACUCCACAUUUGGAAUCUUUAGACAUCAAGAAAUACGACAAUUAUGUGCUGUGUUAAUUGUGCUGUGCUUCUAAGCCCAAAUACAGGUAGGUAGAGUGAAUGAUUUGUCUAUCCUAGAGCACUGGUUUGUGAGGUUCUGAAUUUUAGGUAGUAAAUAGUGCUAGAGAAGCUCAGUGAAAUGCCAUUUUUUAUUUGUGACCAAAGAAGAGCAAUUUGAGGGGCUAUCCUUAUAUUUAAGUAGUUUAUCCAUAGUCACAAGAGACCUCCAUCCUCUCCCCAUAUGGCCAAUUUGGCUUUGGUUGUUCAGUUGAAUGGAUUUGGACCUGUGUCCAUAGAUAUGUGGAAUUAGAGACCUAAUAGAUAUGGAAUUAGAGACCUAAAUUAUACAGUCUUUGAAAGCACAUAACAAAACUGGUCAUCAUGGUACACUAAGGACGCCACUAUAAAAGAAUUAAUAACAGCUUCAUUUCAGAAAUGUGCUGAAGAAUAUCCUCCAGCUGAUACAUUCUCCUGCAUAUAAGGCAUGUUUUACAUGCCUAAGAAAUUACAUACCAGAAGGAAGAAUAUAUGAAAAGAUCUAUUCAAAAGAAUGUAAAUGCUAUGUUAAUAGAUUGACCUAAACUCAUUUCAGCUCUGGAAUUUCAGAAAUAUGGAGAGUAGAGGAGACAUGAAUGUCCACAUAUUAAUUGAUUUAAAUAAGCCAUAAGAAAAAGAAAGUCACAUCAAAUAAGACAUGGUAUUUGACAACUGCUAUCCUUCCAAUCUGUAAAAUUUGCCAGAAGUCUACCAUUGCUCAAGCAACACUGUCUGAAUUCUCUAGUUAUGGUAAUUACAUAAUGAAAAAAUUAAUAUUUUGAUGGAAGAGCCCUUCAACUGUAUUAAAGGAUGUUUUUCAUGGGCCCUAGAUAACUAGUGUUAAUUGACCAAAGGAGAUCUGUUUUCUUUCCUACCUGUAGGAGAGAGAGUGUGUUGUUUCUCCUUUUUUUAUUGGAUGAAAAGAAAGCCACAAGAGAAGUACUCAUAAAUUUGAGGAAUAUUUCUAAACAUUAAUUGUUGUUAAUUUUUGUUUGUGUUUUUAAUUUUUAAUAAUUGUUUUUGUUUUUAAUUUUUCUUCCAAAUUUAGUCAUCUGCUUAUUCAUCAGCCUGUGGAGCUGACCCUGUAUUACUGGAGCAAGGAAGAGGGGCAUUUUAGAGAUAUGAUAUGGCAAAGUAUUCCCAAGGAGGUGGGAGAGCAACACCUCUAGAUUCCAAUGCAUGAAGCCAUUUUCUUAUUUUUUUAUCCUUAUUUUGACCAAUAUUGAAGAAAUGUAUAAAGAUCAAGAGACAGUGAAAAAAUUUAUGUGAAAGAGCCACAAACCAUCUGCUUCUCUUUAAGCAACCCAUGCUUCAAUUGCAAAGCACUGGAGACAUUUUUUAAAAAAUGCCUACUAUCCAAAGCCAUCUAUAGAAUUUAGGCCUCAAAAUUCCAAUGGCAUUCUUCACAGAGAUAGAAAAAGCAAUCCUAAAAUUUGUAUGGAAUCAUGAAAAUUUUGAAUAGCCAAAGCAAUCCUGAGAAAGGAAAGCAAAGCUAGAGGAAUAGCACUUCCCUAUUUCAUAGGAAUAACAUUUUCCUAUGGUAAUCUAUAGUGAUUAAAACGCUAUGGUACCAGCAUAAAAAUAGAUACAUUUCCCAGUGAAAUAAAAUAGAGAGCCCAGAAUUUAUUCCCUACAGAUAUGGUCAAGUACUAUUUGACAAAGGAGAUAAGAACAUCCAUGAGGAAAGUGUAGCCCUUUCAAUAAAUGAUGCUAGGAAAACUGGAUAAACACAUAUAGGAAAUGAAAUUAUACCCUCAACUUAUACUGCUCACAAAUAUUAACUUGAAAUGCAUUAAAGGCUUAAACAUAAAAUUUCGUGCCAGAAUAUGCCUAGAAGGAAAGAUAGGGAAGAAUCUCCUCAACAUUGAUUUGGCAAAGAUUUUUCUGUAUAUGACACCAAAAACACAACAAAGGAAGAAAACAAAUAUGAUUACAUCAAACUUAAAAGAUUUUGCAUACCAAAAGAAACAAUAAACAAUGAAAAUUCAGCCUACAGAAAGGAAAAAUUUUAUAAACCAUAUACCUGAUGUGAGGUUAAUAUUUAGAAUUUACAGACUCAUCUAAUUUAAUAAUAAAAUAACAAAUCCAGUUAAAAUGGGUAGAUAAACUUUGGAUGUCCAAGGAAGACAUCCAAAAGGCCAAUAGCUACAUGAAAAGGUGCUUAACAUGACUAUUCAUCAGGGAAAUGCAAAUCAAAAUCACAAUGAGGUAUUACUUCCCACUUGUUAUAUAAUAGGUUUCAUCAAAAGAUCAAAGAUAAAAAAUAUUGGUGAGGAUGGGGAGAAAAAAAUUACAUUUGUACAUUGCUAUUGGAAAUGCAGAUUGGUGUAGAAACCAUGGAAGACAGGUUGGAGGUUGUUCAAAAAAUUAUAUAUAUAUAUAUAUACACACCUAUUGUAUGAUCUAGCAUUUCCACUUCUGGGUAUAUACCCAAAGGAAAUGAAAACGGGCUGGCAAAUAGGUAUCUGCACUUCCAUGUUCAUUGCAGCAUUAUGCACAAUAGCCAACAUAGGAAACAACUGAAGUGUCCAUCAAGAGUUGAACAGGUAAAUACGCAUAAUUCAGCCAUGAAAGGGGACAUCCUACCAUUUGAGAUAACAUGGAUGUACCUGGAGGACAUUCUGUCAAGUGAAAUAAGCCAAACAUAGAAAGGCAAAUGCUGCAUGAUACCCCUUAUAAGUAAAAUUUGGAAAAGUCAAACUUACGAAACAGAGUAAAAUGGUGGUUAACAGCAGAGAACAGUAAGGGGAUAGGACAAAAUUCAUUUAAGGGUACAAGUGUGAAAUUAGUAGUAAAUAAGUUCUAGAGAUAUAAUGCAAAGUAAAUAUAGACAAUAUUAUGUUAUAAUAAUCAAACUUGCUAAGCAGUCAAUUAUUCCAAAAA